rnacentral:rRNA from 1 species
AGUGAACGCUGGCGGUAGGCCUAACACAUGCAAGUCGAACGGCAGCACAGUAAGAGUUUGCUCUUACGGGUGGCGAGUGGCGGACGGGUGAGGAAUACAUCGGAAUCUACUUUUUCGUGGGGGAUAACGUAGGGAAACUUACGCUAAUACCGCAUACGACCUACGGGUUAAAGCAGGGGAUCUUCGGACCUUGCGCGACUGAAUGAGCCGAUGUCGGAUUAGCUAGUUGGCGGGGUAAAGGCCCACCAAGGCGACGAUCCGUAGCUGGUCUGAGAGGAUGAUCAGCCACACUGGAACUGAGACACGGUCCAGACUCCUACGGGAGGCAGCAGUGGGGAAUAUUGGACAAUGGGCGCAAGCCUGAUCCAGCCAUACCGCGUGGGUGAAGAAGGCCUUCGGGUUGUAAAGCCCUUUUGUUGGGAAAGAAGAGCAGCAGGUUAAUACCCGGCUGUUCUGACGGUACCCAAAGAAUAAGCACCGGCUAACUUCGUG